GAUGAACGCUAGCUACAGGCUUAACACAUGCAAGUCGAGGGGUCUCGCGGGAGCUUGCUCCCAAGAGACGACCGGCGCACGGGUGAGUAACGCGUAUCCAACCUGCCCUUCAUAUUGGGAUAGCCUUCCGAAAGGGAGAUUAAUACCGAAUAACAUGAGAAGAUUGCAUGAACCUCUCAUGAAAGCUCCGGCGAUGAAGGAUGGGGAUGCGUUCCAUUAGGUAGUAGGCGGGGUAACGGCCCACCUAGCCGACGAUGGAUAGGGGUUCUGAGAGGAAGGUCCCCCACACUGGAACUGAGACACGGUCCAGACUCCUACGGGAGGCAGCAGUGAGGAAUAUUGGUCAAUGGGCGCAAGCCUGAACCAGCCAAGUAGCGUGAAGGAUGACUGCCCUAUGGGUUGUAAACUUCUUUUAUACGGGAACAAACCCCGGUACGUGUACCGGAUUGCGUGUACCGUAUGAAUAAGCAUCGGCUAACUCCGUGCUAGCAGCCGCGGUAAAGUCG
rnacentral:rRNA from 1 species